CCUGUUAUAUUUAAAGCAAGAAAUACCAGAGGCGUGAAUGUGGGAAGCACUGGCCAACAGCUCACGCCCCGAGUUGCAUAAAAUCACUUGCUGGUUGGAAAUUCUGUGAAUUCGGCGUGUGUGUAUGUGUACGUGUUUGAGAAGAGCCAGACCCCAAUAGAAACAAAAGCUGAUGGAAAUCACGCAUGGUACUGUCAAACCGAACACCAGCCUUUAGAAAAUAAAAGUGAACACGGCCAGCCCGCUGCACCCUGCUCCCUUAAUAUCCAGCGCUUGACAGCGCCGGAGCUGUCAGAUGAGAGGCGGCGUCAAUGGAAUAAAGAGUUCUUGAAGUAGGGCAGCUGCCACGCCCAGAACUAAAGUUCCCAGAACCCCUUGCACCUGGCUGUGGUCAUGUGACGAGUUCCUACCAAUCAAGAGCAUCA
ensembl:lncRNA